UAUAGUACGUGUCGUGUCUCGCAAUCGUUUAAAAAUCUUUGCUAAACACGUGGCAAAUUUUACCGGAAACAGUGAAUUUUCUCAAUUUCUCACAACUUCUUCGAUUGGAGGUUAACCAACAAUACAAACGGACCUUCCAACGUGCAGUGGGAUAGUGACGAAAUCAAAUUAUACAGGGGGAAUACAUUAGACAGAUCUGUAGCAACAGGGCGCUACUGCACAUCAAUCAUCA